CAAGCUUGAAAGGAGGUGAUCCGAUGUCUCAUGGUUCAGUAGCGAGGUCGGUGAAGAUCCCUACGGAGCAUAUUCGGUAACAUUCCUGCCGAGUAAGGCUACGUGAGCGGCGCUUCCGACCGCUGACCAUGCGAAGGGCGAUCCUCCUACGGGCGAGGGUCGCCCU
rnacentral:sRNA from 1 species